GUGAAUCAUCAAAUUUUUGAACGCAAAUUGCACUCUCCUCGGAGAGUAUGCGUGUUUGAGGGUCAGCCUAUAAAAAAUCGACAUCGUUGCUGUUUGGGGGUGGCGUUCGUGGGAAAUUUGGUCAUCUUAAAUCUUUUGGAUUUAAGCGAUUUAAAAUUUUCUUUGUGGUUCCAUGAACGUUUUUAAGAUUAAUUUGUUUACAAGUUUAAGGUAUGGAUUUUUAUUAGAUGUGAUAUGCAUAUGGAAUCGAG
rnacentral:misc_RNA from 1 species